rnacentral:lncRNA from 1 species
UUCUUCUUUUCUGGUAACAGAGUUCUUUGUUAUUCAUGCAAUAACAAAGAAAUCUUGCUAAUUGAGCAUGUGAUGAGAUAAAUGUGAUGAGACAAAUGUAAUAAUUAUUCAUAAGUUAGACGUUCAAAAAAAUUGCAUUCUGUUCGGUGUUUAUAUAGAAUGUUUACAAUCUUACAAGCUGUUCCAUAUUAGUGAAAUUCUCUAUAUGUCUAAUAUUCGCCACAGUGCAAUAUAUCAUUUUUGAUUAAGUAAUAGAAUAGAUCAAUACAGCAUGACAGCAGAGCAUUGACAAGUGACAUUAGAAUAUCUACCAUUUGUAUGCAAGGCUGCCUAGUUUCACCGUCAGCUGCACAUGGAUGUGAACUUUGUUUACUGCUUUAUAUUGAUGUCGACUACUACCCGAAUGCAGCUUGCAUCAUGUAAUCCCCAAUGCAGUAUCUUCAGUCCUUUGGAGUGAACAUCUCACACAAGGAAUCUCUACGACAUGUUUCCCACGUUGGCACCAUCAUGAUGACUCCCGAAUAGAGAUAGAUCGACGUAAUCCAGAAAUUUGUCCCGAGAUAGGUAUCUUCAGAGUCGUAGGCUCCUGUGAUGUGUGUUCAAAACGACUGUGAACUAUCUUGAAUUCCACACAGAGGCCUACGACUCUAAGGAUGCCUACCACGACACAUGUAAUCACUGAAGCAGUGAGGUGUGUUCAUGACUGCCAGUGUUCAAAUACUGUCACACCAACCAAACACAUCAGCAGGCCCGAAAGACAAGGAACUCUCAACCGUUCACACUCGCUGCACGAUGGACGCUACGACUCAAAAUAAUAUCACCACAGAUAGCAGGACACACUUAACCAAGGUCCGACAACACGUCUUUUGAGAAAGAUAUACAUAACAAAGUACCUUGGGAAAAUCACUCAGUCCAGCUCGUGGACAUUGAUAACAAAGGGAAUCGCGACAGAAAGGAAUGGCGUGAAGAGAGAGAGAGAGAGAGAGAGAGAGAGAGAGAUCGAAUCCAGUGAGAAUCGUGUUGGAACUAAUCGCUUCGCACAAUUUCUACUAAGUGUACAAGUGAAAAUGCAUAAAGAGACAAUGAAGCGAGUUGCAAUUAGGAACCAGCAAUAUCUCAGGAGCCUUCAAUAGAAGUUACUGCAGGAGAAACUGGAAUUCUUAAAAGGUACAUUUCACAGCAGGAAUUGAUGCGCAGUAACGAAGGUAAAGAUAUGCAUAGUAGUGUUCCCUGCCUAAACAGAAGGAUUCAGAAAGGAGCACCUCGCAUAGCGCCCCAGAGAACGUGGUCACAUGUCACAAAAAAACCCUCUUGCAAAACGUGACCCCCCACUACCAACUAAUUCAACAACAGACAGAUCUAUAUACAUAAACAUCCACACACAUGACACAAACAGCGAUUGUCACGUCAGGCUAGGAUGACAUUACUUUGCACCACGUCAACGUCACAUCCAAACAGGUCACACAACAAAUUAGUGAGAUCCCACAGCAGCCAAGCCGCAGAUGCAACAGGUACAGUGAUCGAAUGAGGUGCACCGACACUGCAAAUGAGAGAACUUCAGACAUCAGCACAUCGUUGAUAAAGCCACGGCUGUGUAAAAUACACUGCUAACUAUGCAACGACGGCGAAAAUAGUAGCCUGCCGAACACAGUAAGCUGCGGUCGCAACAUGUGGAUUGCCGUGAGGCGCGGCAUAAAGAGGAAACCAAAAAAGAAAAAUAGUGGACGUCCACAAAGCGCGCAUCGGAAACUAGGUGGCACAGGUACAUACUAAUAAUAGAAAGGUGACAUGGUGAUAGUUUCUUCAGAAUCCUCUACGCAGGAGAGUGAAAGACGACGACGACGACGACUGCGACAAAACGCUUGAGCGAGAGGGAAGGGGCCUGUCUCGGCCAUGGCGGGCCUGCCAACUGAAUUUGGGUUCUACUGUGUAGACAGAGCCAUCUUAUAUCGUUUCAUAUUCUUUGGGCAUCAGCAGCGGGGCCCCAAUUGGCUGUCAAGAUUUGACGUCCUUGUCUGUUGACGUAU